AAUAAUUUAUACACGAUUUUUAAUGCUUUUAUUAAUUUAGUAUUAUACUGAACAUUUAUUUUUUUUUACUGUGAAGGGGUUUAUAAAUAAUUAAAUUAGUGAAUUGAAGUUAGUCAUUUAAAGUACCUUUUGUAUUAGUGAAAAUUUAUUUUUAAAUUUAUUUUGAUUUCCCGAAAAUAUGAGAUCUAUUACUAUUAAAUAAAAUUUGUUGAAAUAAAUUUUAAAAUUAGUAAUUGAAUCGAGAAGAAAUUCGUUCAUUUAUAUAUCUGGUUUUUUAGUUAAGGUUCACCCUUUUUUACGUUCAGCUUUAAAAUUUUAAAAUUUGUUUAGUGGACGUAAAUUAAAAUUAAGGGGGUUAGCUCUUAUUUUUAUUUUAUUUAAAAUUAAAAAUUUUAUUUUUUUACUUAUAGGCUUUAAAUCAGCCUUUUUUAUAAAGUUAUAUUUAAUAAAUUUAAUUUGUAAUUUAUUUUUUGUUUAAUUUAAAUUCUAAAGUUUUUUACCAACAAAAAAAUUUUUUUAAUAAUUUUAUUAGUAGUUUAAUUUUUUUUAUCUUUUGUAUUAAAAAUUUUAAUUUUAAAAAUUCGACAAUACAAAUUUCGUCUGUUUAACAAAAACAUUUCUUUAAGGAUUCAUUUAAAGUAAGGCCUGCCCACUGUGUAUAUAAAGGGCCGCGGUAUUAUGACCGUGCAAAGGUAGCAUAAUCAUUAGUCUCUUAAUUAGGGAAUUGUAUGAAUGGUUUUACGUAGUUUAGUUUUUUUAAAUUUAAUUAAUGAAUUUGAAUUUAGAGUGAAAAUGCUCUAUUUACUUUAAAGACGAUAAGACCCUAUAGAGUUUUAUUUAUUUUAUAUAAUUAUAAUUUGUUAUAGAAUUAAUUGUUAAAUUUAAAUUUUGUUGGGGCAACGAAAGAAUAUAAAAAACUUCUGUUUAUUUUUUUUAAUAUUAUUAAUUAACUUUAAUUUGAAAUUUUAUAAAAAACUACCUUAGGGAUAACAGCGUUAUUAAAAUUAAGAGUUCUUAUCGACAUUUUAGUUUGCGACCUCGAUGUUGAAUUAAAAAUUCUUUAGGGGGUAGAUUUUCUAUUAGAUAGUCUGUUCGACUAUAAAAUUUUUACAUGAUUUGAGUUCAAAUCGGCGUGAGCCAGGUUGGUUUCUAUCUUAAAGAUUUGGGUUAUAAUUUAGUACGAAAGGACCAAUUAAAUUUUAAAAUUUUUAUCU
rnacentral:rRNA from 1 species